rnacentral:rRNA from 1 species
ACUCAAAUGAAUUGACGGGGGCCCGCACAAGCAGUGGAGUAUGUGGUUUAAUUCGAAGCAACGCGAAGAACCUUACCAGGGCUUGACAUCCCUUGACGACGGUAGAGAUACCGUUUCCCUUCGGGGCAAGGAGACAGGUGGUGCAUGGUUGUCGUCAGCUCGUGUCGUGAGAUGUUGGGUUAAGUCCCGCAACGAGCGCAACCCCUACUGCCAGUUGCCAGCAUUUAGUUGGGCACUCUGGCGGGACUGCCGUUGACAAAACGGAGGAAGGUGGGGAUGAUGUCAAAUCAUCAUGCCCCUUAUGUCCUGGGCUACACACGUACUACAAUGGCCGCAACAGAGGGCUGCGACGCCGCGAGGCGAAGCGAAUCCCAAAAAGCGGUCUCAGUUCGAAUUGCAGGCUGAAACCCGCCUGCAUGAAGUCGGAAUUGCUAGUAAUGGCAGGUCAGCAUACUGCCGUGAAUACGUUCCCGGGCCUUGUACACACCGCCCGU